rnacentral:rRNA from 1 species
GCGAACGCUGGCGGCAGGCCUAACACAUGCAAGUCGAACGGACCCUUCGGGGUUAGUGGCGGACGGGUGAGUAACACGUGGGAACGUGCCUUUAGGUUCGGAAUAGCUCCUGGAAACGGGUGGUAAUGCCGAAUGUGCCCUUCGGGGGAAAGAUUUAUCGCCUUUAGAGCGGCCCGCGUCUGAUUAGCUAGUUGGUGAGGUAACGGCUCACCAAGGCGACGAUCAGUAGCUGGUCUGAGAGGAUGACCAGCCACACUGGGACUGAGACACGGCCCAGACUCCUACGGGAGGCAGCAGUGGGGAAUCUUGCGCAAUGGGCGAAAGCCUGACGCAGCCAUGCCGCGUGAAUGAUGAAGGUCUUAGGAUUGUAAAAUUCUUUCACCGGGGACGAUAAUGACGGUACCCGGAGAAGAAGCCCCGGCUAACUUCGUG